rnacentral:rRNA from 1 species
UCAGGAUGAACGCUAGCUACAGGCUUAACACAUGCAAGUCGAGGGGUAGCAGGGUAGCAAUACCGCUGACGACCGGCGCACGGGUGAGUAACACGUAUCCAACCUUCCCAUAACUCAGGGAUAGCCUUUCGAAAGAAAGAUUAAUACCUGAUAGUACUUUUUCAAGGCAUCUUGAGAAAGUUAAAGAUUUAUUGGUUAUGGAUGGGGAUGCGUUCCAUUAGAUAGUUGGUGAGGUAACGGCUCACCAAGUCUUCGAUGGAUAGGGGUUCUGAGAGGAAGGUCCCCCACAUUGGUACUGAGACACGGACCAAACUCCUACGGGAGGCAGCAGUGAGGAAUAUUGGUCAAUGGGCGAGAGCCUGAACCAGCCAAGUAGCGUGAAGGAAUGAAGGUCCUAUGGAUUGUAAACUUCUUUUAUAGUAGAAUAAAGUGAUCCACGUGUGGAUUUUUGUAUGUAUACUAUGAAUAAGGAUCGGCUAACUCCGUGCCAGCCGCCGC